UGUGAAUAUCCAUAUUUCCUCUAUGAGGAUGUAGUUUUCCAUUGCAUCCGCCUUAGUGAAGAAGCCACCCACUUCCUCUGAAUAUAAAAGCUUUGGUUUCAGGUGUAACACCGGGCACAAGUCAACUACUGCACCACUUACCUGGAAAUCAAGUAAUACUUUUAUUUCAUUCAGGUAAGAAAAAAAGACACAGGCUCUUUACAGGGACACCAAGCAUGGCUCACACCAUAACAGUGGCUCUGUUGCUUUGCCUUCUUCCCUUGUUCGGAUAUGGUGUGGAAGGGCAGCUGAGGCAGCAGACAGCAUCAACGCUGGAUACAGGUCUAAAAAUGUUACAUCUAAACACUGAACAUGUUGGUCUCUUUUAAUACCUGACUGUGGUGUCCUACCAUUGCUCAGAGUGUGAGGGCCACAAUAUUCUCACCAAUGAAAACCCUCUUUUACCAGGUUAAAAAAGCUGAUUGGUCUUGACUAAUGAAAUAUUCAAACUCAAAGAUGACCACUUGAAAACGAACAACACAUGCAGCUAAUACAGUGAGAUUAGAAAAAUACUGGUAGUUUGGUUGUUAUCGUUUAUC